GACGUAGGGCGCGAGCGUUGUCCGGAUUUAUUGGGCGUAAAGAGCUCGUAGGCGGCUUGUCGCGUCGACCGUGAAAACUUGGGGCUCAACCCCAAGCCUGCGGUCGAUACGGGCGGGCUAGAGUUCGGUAGGGGAGACUGGAAUUCCUGGUGUAGCGGUGAAAUGCGCAGAUAUCAGGAGGAACACCGGUGGCGAAGGCGGGUCUCUGGGCCGAUACUGACGCUGAGGAGCGAAAGCGUGGGGAGCGAACAGG
rnacentral:rRNA from 1 species